AGGGUUUGAUCAUGGCUCAGGGUGAACGCUGGCGGCGUGCCUAAUACAUGCAAGUCGAGCGGUAACACUUCGGGUGACGAGCGGCGGACGGCAGAGUAACACGUAGGAACGUACCCCAAACUGAGGGAUAACUGCUCGAAAGAGUAGCUAAUACCGCAUGUGAUCUCCGGAUUAAAGCUUCGGCGGUUUGGGAACGGCCUGCGCAUGAUUAGCUUGUUGGUGAGGUAAUGGCUCACCAAGGCGACGAUCAUUAGCUGGUCUGAGAGGAUGAUCAGCCUGACUGGGACUGAGACACGGCCCAGACUCCUACGGGAGGCAGCAGUAGGGAAUUUUCCACAAUGGGCGAAAGCCUGAUGGAGCAACGCCGCGUGCAGGAUGAAGGCCUUCGGGUUGUAAACUGCUUUUUUCUGUGAAGAUUAUGACAGUAGCAGACGAAUAAGGAUCGGCUAACUCCGUGCCAGCAGCCGCGGUCAUACGGAGGAUCCAAGCGUUACCCGGAAUUACUGGGCGUAAAGAGUUGCGUAGGUGGCAGAGUAAGUAGAUAGUGAAAUCGUGUGGCUCAACCAUACAUCCAUUAUCUAAACUGCUCAGCUAGAGCAUGGGAGAGGUAGCUGGAAUUGCUAGUGUAGGAGUGAAAUCCGUAGAUAUUAGCAGGAACACCGAUGGCGUAGGCAGGCUACUGGCUCAUUGCUGACACUCAGGCACGAAAGCGUGGGGAGCGACCGGGAUUAGAUACCCCGUUAGUCCACGCCGUAAACGAUGGAUGCUAGCUGUUACCCGUAUCGACCCGGGUAGUAGCGAAGCUAACGCGUUAAGCAUCCCGCCUGUGGAGUACGGCCG
rnacentral:rRNA from 1 species